rnacentral:lncRNA from 1 species
UUCAGUCAAAUCUCCCGCAAAUUAUCGUGCUCUAGAUCUCUCAGAAUUAAAUAUAUAAUACAGUUGUAUGUAUAGAUGUGUUGAUGCAUGUAUACUGAUCAUUUUGAUAUUAGAUUCAACUUCUCUAUAUGUUUCUUCAGCUCUUUAGUGUUGUUUCAAUCAGGUACUGGUUCUGUUUUCGUUAAUUACGAAGAGAAAUGUGUUUAUAUGUGUGUGUGGGUGUGUGUUUUGGGCGUUGAUGAAAUGUGAACUUAAUUGACGCUUAUUUAUGUUUCUGAAAUAAAUGCUGUACAUUUAUUGAUGUGAGCGCGCGCAUAGCGGGGGUUUCGGGUGUGCCUAUUUAUGUAUACUGAAGUGAAGUGUAACGUGUAUUUCAUGCGUCUCUGUGCAGUGCAUGGGCGGGGUGCAUAGAUUGGAACUUUAAUCUUUGAAGAG